GCUCAGCUGUCACUGUGUUACCAAACAUCGGGGUUUCAGCCUAGGUUGCUUGCUGUGCAGAAUACCAGUCACCAAGACAUCAAGUAUAGCUGGGAAAGAAAGGCUUUAUUAUGGAUGACGUCCACCAGAAGUUGGGAGACAAGUCUCAAAUCUGACUCUUGCUGACCAAAGUUAGGAGUUUGCAGAGCAGGGAAGGAAGAGGAGUUAGUGAACAGGCAGCAGAUGGUCAGAUGAGAAGUCUGGCCUUUCAUCGUCUGGAUAAGGUGAUCAGGAACCUAUGAAUGUCUUGAUCCUAACUGGGAGGGCUGAUGGUCAAUCCCCUGAGGAAGGAACUCUGAAAAACCAGGCUCCCCAGGACCUGUCCCAUACCCAGCCAGCGGGACAUUUCACGUCUGUUGCAGAUGCUCUUGCUGCCUCUUCUCAUCCCCUUGGCAUGCUGGGUGAACUUCCCAUGGGCAGCACCUGUGAGCCUUCACUUGAGGAUUCUCUCUUGGGCUGCGCUAUCCAAAUACAGGCAAGUUGGAUGUGCUGGAGAAUUAACGCCCCCUAGGAGCAGCUCUCCGUCAUGACAACAGGAGGUGGUGGGCAAGUGCUGCAGCUCCCCGGGUGGGAAAACUCCGAGCCCUGUGCUCUAUGCUGGCCCCAGAGCCCUCACACGAUGGCGUUCCAAUUGCCCACAGCAGUAAGGGCUUCAUGACACACCCUAUGUGGCUGCCUUCUCUGCUUUCCUUCCCACAUCCUGAUUGAUGUUUCCUGGGAUCUCCCCUCAAAUCAACAGUCAGCACUCAAAUCCUUGUCUUAGGGUCUGCUUCUAGGGGAAAUCCAAACCAAGAUAGUAUCUGCCUAAGCCACUUUUUGUUUGUGAUCUUUGGUGCAAGGUAGUGUAAUGGACAGACCCCUAGGCGGGGUGCUGGGGGAACCCUUGUUUUUCACUUGUGACCUUGGGACCAGGUAACAGGAAUGAAGAGGUAGGGCUGAGGCCUGAUCUGCUUUUAGCGGG
rnacentral:lncRNA from 1 species